AUCUUUUUUCGACAUUUGUUCAUUUCGUUCUAUCUCUACCUACAUGAUUGUUGCUUUUUUAUUAUGUAGAAUGGGUCCGUAGACACACCUCAUAUCAGUGCUCAUGACCACCUAAAUCUUUCUGUCUCACAUCCUAUCUAAUGCCUUAUAGUCCAUGUAUGCAUAUCUUGGUAAAUAGGUCACCGACCUGUUCCAGUGGUUGUUUCUUUUCAUUUCUGUCUGAUGAGUUUGUUGUUUUUCUCUGUUAUUUUCAGAAGCCUCCGCAAGAACUCAGAUGCAAAAUUAUGUCGCCUCAUCUGGCACUGUCAUUUUGUACAUUGACAAACUCUUCAUCUCAAGAAAUUUGGGUAUUGACUGGUGACCCUGAGCUGGAUGACAAAGCGCCAAUCGUUUAUUGUGAUUCGCCUCAAAUCACUAUUUACGUUAAUUUAAUAUCAUGCAAAACAUUUGUCCAAAUAUUUGAUUGUAACCUGUAACUAACUACAUCUUUAAUAGCAUGGAAAAUGAAAAAAAAAGCCCUAGAGCAAUUUGGGUAUUGACUGGUGACCCUAAACUGGAUGACAAAGCGCCAUUUGUUUAUCGUGAUUCGCCUCAAAUCACUAUUUACGUUAAUAUAUAAUCAUGCAAAACAUUUGUCCAAAUAUUUUAUUGUAACUUGGAACUAGCUUCAUCUUUAAGGGGCAAGUGCAUACAUAGCCAUACUCGGGUAUGCUAUUUAGAGACUAGCCAGUAUUUAUUUAUUUUUUUAAAUUUAAACUAAAAAUCUCAACUUCAGGACAAUUCAGG
rnacentral:lncRNA from 1 species